ACGUAGGUGGCAAGCGUUGUCCGGAAUUAUUGGGCGUAAAGCGCGCGCAGGUGGUUCCUUAAGUCUGAUGUGAAAGCCCACGGCUCAACCGUGGAGGGUCAUUGGAAACUGGGGAACUUGAGUGAGGAAGAGGAAAGUGGAAUUCCAGGUGUAGCGGUGAAAUGCGUAGAUAUUUGGAGGAACGCCAGUGGCGAAGGCGGCUUUCUGGGCUGUAACUGACGCUGAGGCGCGAAAGCGUGGGGAGCAAACAG
rnacentral:rRNA from 1 species